CUCACCAGGUGCUUCCAAGAAGCUCAUCAACCGGGCAUGGAGGCAAGAGCCAACCCAUAGUCUCCCUAUCGCCGCCAUUUGUAUUCAGAAUUCAGCUCUUGGAGAGAUGGAGCUUGUCAUAGUUAACGACUGCUCAGCCACAUUCUGAAUCAGCUGCAGCUUCCAAGUGGUUCGUGAAGGCAGCCCUCAGAGAUCACAUCACAGUAGACCUGGAGCUCUUCAGAUGUUCCAUCAUCUCAAAUCAUUGACCAAGCUGGCAGUGGUUGACAUGAAUUAGAAGUCCAACAGCAGCAGAAGGUGGCGGACUCUCAUUCAAUGGAGGUUUUUAAGCAGAGGUGAAUUGGCCAUCUGUCAGGUAUUCUUUAGCUGUGAUUCCCGCAUUAAAGGGGGUUGGACUAGAUAACUCUUGAGGUCCCUCUCAACUCUACAGUUCAGUGAUUCCUAACGCUGCGGUCCCACAGAACUUUCCCCAGCCUGCAGUAGAUGAAGGAGGAUAUUUCCAAGCCAUUUAUGACACUUGCAGUGGGUCUUAAAUAUGGCCAAAUUAUGCCUUUGGGAACAGUGAGCUGGGAUAAAGUAUGAGAGGAAAUGGCGAAAGUGUGGCAACAGGCAGGAAUUUAAUGCAGAGACUCUGCAGGGGAAAAAAUAACCACAGGGAACUGGGCAUUUUAUGAGGUUCAGUGGCACAGUCGAUAUAGGUACUUUGAAUCAGAAAGCAAAUAGAGUAGCAAAAAAUGACAGCCCAAGAUGCUGUUUUGUAUGGGAUACCAAAAAAAAAGGAAAGAAGGAAAGAGAUGGAGAGAAUGUGUAAUUCUCUAAGGCUUACAGUUUUUAAAGAGUUCACCAAUCAACUGUCCUUUGUGGUGGUGGUGGUAAAGCCUUAGUUUUAUCACAUCAGUGUUCCAAUAUCGCAAUACAUUUUUCAUUCUGGGGGACAACAAAGGACACAAUGUGGUUUUAAAUCCAGGGUUCCGGUGUGCUUUGCACAUAAACUGAUUGUGCCCCAGGCUUUUGAUCUGCAGUGAAAAUGGGGGCAGUGGGAAAUAGCAAUUGAUUAGCAACUGGUGAGAUUCUGCACAGGGUUAACAACUGGGGGUUU